rnacentral:tRNA from 1 species
GGGCACAUGGUGUAGUUGGUUAUCACGCUCGCUUAGCAUUUGACUGCGAGAGGUGUCCGGUUCAAUUCCGGAUGUGUCCA